AAGAUGAGAUAUCCCAUAACGUCAAGUUAGUAAGACCCCUUGAAGACGACGAGGUAGAUAGGGCAGAGGUGGAAGUGCGGUAACGCAUGGAGCUGACUGUUACUAAUAGGUCGAGGGCAUAACCAAG
rnacentral:rRNA from 1 species